ACCUGAGAUCCGUGCACACAGUUUGUAUUUUGAUCUGUCGGCGUACGGGAUCGACACUGUGAGGGAAUCACGCCGCUCCUCGCAGCCGGCAGCGAAGCCUGGAUUCCAUCUGAAGAUCUACGGAACGUUCCGGAACCGCUACAUGGCUCUGGCCUGCACUUCAGAUGCAGACUCCAAAAUGAUGCAUUUCCUGCGCCACACGGCCAACUCUUCAAUCAUGAAGAACAUCUUCCACCAGUCGUUCAACGCGUAUAAGACAGACAUCGAGCCACGUCUGAGUGAACUCACGCUGCACCACAUGCAGUGCAGCCGCAAGCUGUUCGAGAUCAUGCUGUCCUACAGACGCGUCAGCGCCGCUUACAUCGAAGGAGACAACGUCGCCGUGACUGUGGAAGGAGAAGCUGCGCGAGUGCUCAACUUCGACACCGGUUGUGGUGUGAAUCUGGGCAUGAGAGGACUGGAGUCUCUGGGAAUGUUCAUCUACAGAACGGCCACGGCGCUGGACCAGAACGACGUGUUUGAGGCGCUCUCGGCCAAAAUCCAGCACUCCAGACACGUGGCAGAGACUUUCAGGAAGAGCG
rnacentral:lncRNA from 1 species